rnacentral:rRNA from 1 species
UACAGGGGUGCAAACGUUGCUCGGAAUCAUUGGGCGUAAAGCGCACGUAGGCGGUCUGUUAUGUCGGAUGUGAAAGCCCUCGGCUCAACUGAGGAAGUGCAUCCGAAACUGGCAGGCUAGAGUACUAAAGAGGGUCGCGGAAUUCCCGGUGUAGAGGUGAAAUUCGUAGAUAUCGGGAGGAACACCGGUGGCGAAGGCGGCGACCUGGGUAGAUACUGACGCUGAGGUGCGAAAGCGUGGGGAGCAAACAGG